AACCUAUAGUGAGGGCACUAUUUCAAUAAGUCCUUAUACCUCUCCUAUGCGUCAUAUAAGGUCUCUAAGUCAAUUUAAACGAAGGAAGAGAUAUCAUUCCUCAAAUU
rfam:Gossypium hirsutum cultivar TM-1 chromosome 7, whole genome shotgun sequence